CUGACGAAGUUUGCAGGAACAGUUGGCCUCUCGCACGUCCGCACAAACUCCGAAAUGGCGUCGCGGAGCGUCCGCAAACAAGUCGUGACGACCACGACGACGGCGCCGUCGUCCCAGUACGUUUCGCAGCAAGACGACGCGGACAGCCCGGCGAACCCGGUGUCGCCUCGGACAUCUCGCUCGUCGGACACCAACGCCGGCGGGAGCCGCGAACGCUCGCGCUCGCCGCUCUCGGCGUCCAGGGUUUCGAGGAUUCAGGAGAAGAACGAGCUGGCCCACCUCAACGGCCGGCUGGCUGCGUACAUCGACCGCGUGCGUCACCUAGAGUCGGAAAACAGCAAGCUGACCAAACAGAUGACGAGCGAGGAGACCCGCACCCGGGAAGUCGUCAGCGUUAAAAUCAUGUACGAGCGUGAGCCUGUCGACGCACGCCGCACCAUCAACCUGACCGCAAACGAGAGGGCCAAACUGCAGCUCGACGCCAAGAAGUGGCAGACAGAGGCAGAGACCCUGCAAACGAAACUCGCCAAACGAAAACGCGAGUGGUCCGCAGCUGAGCAACAGGUCACAUCGCUCGAAUCUCAAAACGUUGACCUCCAGGGACGUCUGAAUCAGGCCCUUGCACAACUCAAGUAUCCGGAGGCAGAGCGGGACGCGAUGGCGAAGGAGCUUGAGAAGCUCCGCAAAAAGCUGGAGGCGGAGAUUCUGCGGGACGUCGAACUGCGGAACAGGGCCAAGACCCUCUCCGAAGACCUCGAUUUCCGGAAGUCCCUCUACGAGAAGGAGCUCCAGGAGGUGCGCGUGGCCAAGCAGACGGAGAUCACGGAGAUCGACGGGUGGCUGAAGGAGGGCUACGAGCUGCGCCUGGCGGACACGCUGAUGACGCUGCGAGAACUGUUCGAGUCGCAGAUGCAGCUGGACCGGCAGAAAACGCAGGACAUCUACGAGAACAAGAUGCGUGACCUUCAGAGACUUCUCGAUCAGAGCUCCAGCGACAGCUCCAGCAAGAUGGAGGAGAUGCGGGCGUACAUGUCGCGCCUCGAGGGACUCAACUCCAAGAUCUCGGGGCUCGAGUGGCAGAACCUGUCCCUGACGGCCCGUGUGCGAGACCUGGAGCGUCUGCUGGACCAGGAGCGGGAGUGGCACGGCCGGGCCCUGAUGGCCAGGGAGGAAGAGAUCUCCCGGUUGUGGGCGGAGAUUGAGGACCAGCUGCGGAAGUACCAGGACCUGCUGGACAUCAAGGCGGCUCUGGACCUCGAGAUUGCCGCGUACCGUGAGCUCCUGGAGGGCGAAGAGUCCCGGCUGCACAUUACGCCCAGCGCAUCUACCAGCGGGGCUGAGAUGUACACCAGUCCGCUGCUCCGAGGCGCCAAGCGCAAGCGGACCUUCUCCCACCGAGAGGACCAGUCAAACUUCGACGUCCAGGUCUCCGCAUCCGCCAAGGGGGACCUGGAGAUCACGGACCACUGCCCAGACGGAAAAUACGUCAUCAUAAAGAACAAGGGCACGAAGGAGAUUCCAUUGUCUGGCUGGCGGAUCGACCGCAGGUCCGGCAACGAUGACUUCACCUUCCGGUUCCACCGGAACCACAUCAUCCAACCGGGAACCACCAUCACGGUAUGGAGCUCCGACGCCGGUGCAGCACACAGCCCUCCGUCGGACCUGGUCAUGCGCAACCAGCAGUGGCCCCACGUUGAACAGAUGCGCACUGCCUUGCUCAGCGCUGAUGGGGAGGAGGUGGCCUUUCGGGAAAACCGGCGGCGUCAGUUCAUGCGCCUCUCGGAAAGGUCGUCCGGCGCGGGAGGAUAUUCGACGGGGCGUGAGCCCCUUUCCACGAGCACGAUCCCAACGAGCCCAACCGCUGCUGCGUGAUGUAAAGAGGCAAGAAAAAAAUGAAAAAAGUCAUUAGAGUGGCGGAACCUUAGUGCCAUUUAUUUUAUUGGUUAUAUUCCUUUUGCCUUUCUCUGUACUUCUCUCUUGACCCACCUGUUUGUGACUGCAGUUGUUUUAUCCUUAAAAGAAAGAAAAACAGAAUAGCUUAACGUGUCCCCACAUAACCUGUCUAAAGCAUUUCUGUAACUUGUUAACUUCAUAUUCUAACCCCUUUGUGUGCGUGCUUUUGUUGCUGUCGUUUCAUGACGCAUGUAACCUACAUCAUGUUACAUUAAAGUGCUGUCUUGUUCGUAGUGUAGUGCUUGUUCGUUUAGUUUUGUGGACAGGGGAAGCACAUUACUUGCAGCAAACCUUGCGUGGUGUUUGCUAUGGUUUUUCCAAACGUUUUUCCUGUGUUGGAGAUAAAACCUUCAGUUUUUAAACCUUAAUCGCUUUAGAAAAAGGGUGUAACUGCAACAUCACUGCAAUAGGUUUCGGGAGGACAUCAUUCUGCAGCCCUGGCAGCAGUUUCUGAAGCUCUGGUUUCGGGAGGACAUCAUUCUGCAGCCCUGGCAGCAGUUUCUGAAGCUCUGGUUUCGCUAAGAAUUUUUGGCCAGUUUUUGGGGCAAGUCGACUCCGGUGUGUUGCAAUUAUAAGCGCAGGUCGUACCAAGAACAACAUAAGUACCUUGUGAACCAUAUUUCUUAGUUUGCCAACUGUACCUGUGAAGUGCUUUUUACCAAAAAAGCAGGUUGCUUUUUUUUUACGUGGGCGACACGGGGGUUAAUCUGUUCUACGGCAGACGCGACUUUGUCCUGCAGUUUAUUGGAAUGCGGGCAGAGUGUUUUGGAGCACUUGAUUAUGGAUAUUUUGACUUUGAUCGUUGUCUUCGGAAAUGUCUGUUUGUUUGACCUCGCAAACAAAAAAAAAUUACCUUUUUUUCACAAUUGUGUUUGAAUUUAUUGUGUGUUACAUCGGAGCACCAUAUUUAUGCUUGGUUUUUAAACUGCCCAGUUGAAAUUAUUGCGUUUGGACAGUUUAGUGGUUGCAGUGGUUGUUCAAUGAUGUAUGUUAAUCAAAAACAUCGCAGGCAAGGCUAGCGUGUUCUUUGGGGUUAGUCUCUAGAUUUUCUUUGUCAGGGGAAUAUGGAUCUUGUCAAUCAUUUCCCUUCACUCGCGAUUUUAGCAGUUGCAGAGUUCUCGGGUGUGUACACUGGUGCGCAGUCGUUGAUGUUAAUAAUUGCCAAGGUAAUUGCACUGCCGACACAAAUACCAUUUCACCUACUCCGCAAUCAUGGCAGUGAGUUUAGAUCCUAAAUUUUUUUUGCCAAAGUUUCUGGUUACACUGUGUGAACUGCUCGAUGUUUUGCCCGCUAGAUUUUUUUACAAGCUUCUUAAUACAACGUAACUGUCGAAGUUCUUCAACAGAAACCUUUUUCGACUGUUGGACGUAGAGUCCCAUUUAGUUUCUCUGUUUGACAUGGAAUGUGCAGUUUUUUUUUAUCCUUUCCAACUUGAGGUGGACCACAGCAGCUGCUACGAGC
rnacentral:misc_RNA from 1 species